ensembl:lncRNA
AUUAAAAACAAACACAUUUGAAGUAAAGAACAAAACUAAACAAGACAAAGAAAAGAUUAAUAACAAUAAUUAUAAUAAUUAAAAAGUAAAAACGUCAUGGACUCUGGGAGCAGCUUCAGGUUGGACUGGUUUCACAUAUUUUAUACUAGGAAGGAAUGAGGGCGUGGAAGAGUUCUCACCUCACACACACACACAAACACACACACACACAGUCACAGAGCAGACACACACACACACACACUGAUGAAGAACUGACCAACAUCUGAAACAGGAAGGACAGCAGACCUCCAGGAACAAACUCUGCAGAGAAAAGUUUUACAGUCUAUCCAGUAAAACACACCAAAACAGCAAGACGCUUCCUGUUCCUUUAUUGGAGACUGUUCACUAUCUGUAAAGCUAGUUCACACACACUAGUACAGGCAGAAUAGUAAAAAGACAUGAUGGAAGGCCAACCAAAAGUCGAAAAAGAUGACAACACUGCUGUCCCUGACCACCAAAGUACAGUCAGCAAUGCUGGUGACCUGUGGGUCACCAGCUGUUCCAACAGCUCACGUGCCAGUCAGCGGUCCUGUGCCAGUCAACGGUCCAAUGCAAGCGUUUUGGCUGCAAAAGCACGUGCUAAAGCAGCAGCCGCACAAGCGCAAGUAUCAUACGCUGAAAGAGAAGCAGAGGUGAUAAAGGAACAAGCCCACAUUGAAGCUGAAGCUACAAAAAAGAAAGCAGAGCUCAGCGCUGACCUCCUCAAACUGCGUCUACAACGUGAAGCUGCAGCCGCCAAUGCCGAAGCAGAGGUCCUAGAGGCAGCAGCCGAGGAUGAAGGAGGAGAUACCUGGUUUCCAACAAAUAGCAACAACGUCGUCCAGAACAGCUCAUCAUCUCAUGACGUGGAGAUGGAUCAGGACACGGUGAAGGAACAACAUGAGAUCCAGACUGAAGAUCAGAAGAAGCAGCUCACAUCUGGACCUGGACCCAGCUGUGUGUCCUUUAGAAGUGACCAGUCUAUGAUUAAACCCAUUAACUUCAAAGGAGGUCCAUCUACUGACCCACAGUGUGUCUCUGCUAUUGAUCAGGACACGGUGAAGGAACAACAUGAGAUCCAGACUGAAGAUCAGAGGACCAGGAAGCAGCUCACACCUGGACCUGGACCUGGACCCAGCUGUGUGUCCUUUAGAAGUGACCAGUCCAUGUACAGACUCCUUGACUUCAAAGGAGGUCCAUCUACUGACCCACAUGGCCUUGUCGGUUCCCCCUUCAUUGUUCGGUCAGCCUUCGUCUCAGCAUCAGCUGGUGUCGGCAAUCAUCUUGGAUCCAUGUUGCCUGCUCCGCGACCUUCACUGCCGUGUGGGUCGUUCGUUUCCGGUCGGCUGAAAGAAAAGCAGGAAGUAUUAAUUCGAUUUUCUUUUCCUGGAGUAAGAAGAAGCAUAGCUGGAGUUGCAGUGAUUAUCUGUGGUACAUCUACUUACCUGGUGAGAAGCAACAAUUUGAGAACCACUGUUUACAAGGACAUGCAAGUCGGACGGAGAAGGACAUGCAAGUCAGACGGAGAAGGACAUGCAAGUCAGACGGAGAAGGACAUGCAAGUCAGACGGAGAAGGACAUGCAAGUCAGACGGAGAAGGACAUGCAAGUCAGACGGAGAAGUGUGGAGUGUGAUUACAUGUCUUCUCAAGAUGAAUACAUACAAUUGGGAGACAUGGAGAUGUGAGAAAGCUAAAUGAGUUUAACCAAAUAAAUAAAUAAUGUUAUUUAUUUAUUUAAAUUGU